GAUGAGGUUUUAAGCAAUAUAGGUCAACUAAGAGAAAGAAACGUAAUAAACAAAUUGAACCUAAAAUAAUUCUCACAAGGGUGACGAUUUUGAUUAAAAAUGUAGUCUAUGAAACACUAUAGACAACGAUUUUGACUAUAAUCAUUGUCUUUGUGAGUCUUUUGUCAUACAGAAAAACAGCAUAUGCAACGGUCUACACAACAAUUGUCGUCUAUACUUUCAUUUUGUGUUCUUUUACAUGAGUCACUUUAGGCAACGGUUAGUAAAAUAACCAUUGCCUAUGAGAUAUAAAUAGGACAAACAUGCCUAAGAGCUGCACUCUUUCCUUUCACUUUCUGAGCAUCACAGAGCAACACCUGUUCAUGACAUUCAGGAUCCUAACUAGCUCCUCUAGGAUCCUUAGAAGCACGGAGUGCUAUUUUCUGAGCCCUCCAAUAUUGUGGUGGAAGAAUACCGAGGAUUUUAACAAUUAGAUCAUAGGAGUCAACAUUUCUCCCCAACAGUCUGAGCCCGUCAAUGAGGCCUUGUAGCCUUCCAAUCAUGGACUAGACGAGGUUGCUCAAUUCGGUUUGAUUGAUGGUACUUCCAUUAAUAGACGAGAAGGUGUUGUAUACAUGCCAAUUCUAAUAACUUUCAUGCUUUGUUUCUUCACACACCAACACAAAUAUAUCUUGCUUCCACCCAUUAAGGCAUGAAGGUAGGGAAAGAGACUUUGGUGAUCCUCCUCUGCCUUUGCCCAUUCAUUUGUUGAAUCAUUAUUUUUCUUCUGUUUGGUCCCCAUAACGGAUAAGACCUACUUAAGCAGCAAAACAAAGUCCUUUUUCUUGUGUCAUUUUCUCAUCAUCCUGUCCUUCUUUUAUGCCCCAUGCUUGUCCACAAACUCGUCCCACAUUAGAUCCUUGUCCAAUUACCAGUUUUAUCUUCCUUCAUGCCAUGCACGCAAUCAUAUGAUCCAAAGUCAAUAAUGUUAUUUUCCUACAAGCCACAAGUUGCAUAUGCACAUGCACCCAGUUGAGACCUCAGAAUCAGAAGAUUUAUGACUGCCAUGAUAGGAUAAGUAGUUGAUUGCAACAUGUGUGAAAGAGUUUAAUAUAAAAAAUGCCAGCUCUGUGAUCUUAAUUCACGGCCACCACCCUCACUACUGCUCUAUAUCAGUGGAGGAAAAUGACAGAAAAUUAAUAGGAGUUAUCUUCCACAUCCAACGUCUAAUUGCAGUCAUUUUUGGGUUUAUUUUAACGUGAAAAUUUCUAAAAUCAUACAGAAAAAUUGAUAUCGUUCCUGACAUUAAUGACUGUUUCCCUGACAAACUCAUUACCCAGUCACUUACUUUAUAACACCCAAAUUUAUAUUUUUCAUGAUAGUAAUUUUGGAUUCGUUAGUAUCGAUCUAUUGUACCCACAUUACCUACCUAGUCACACACUUCAUUUAACUCACAUUAUAUAUAAGGGUUCAUCUGAAAAUAAAUGUUACGUAUAUAAUCUUUUUUUUGUUAUGUAUAUUCUCUACAGAUAUAUUAAAACCUUAUAUUCUUAAAAGACUUUUGACUAUAAUUAAAAAAAAAACAAUAAGCUUUCAUUAAUAGUUCCGUUAGAAUGUUACAAAUGCCAAGUUAGAAUUCUGUAACCGAUAAGAUAUAUACAUUAGUUGUACUGAGAUCACGAUAUAUUUUUUCUAGUCCAUUUCUAACAUAUUCUCUCUGGCUGGAUUAGUAAGCAUUUAAGUGUGUGUAUAUAUUCAAAAUGGUUCACAAAUAAAUCCUUUGCGUUUUCUACUAUUAUCUUUCAUAAAAAAAUUCAAUUUCAAUGAAAGUGUUCAUUGCAGUUGUCGAUGCAAAGGGAACAAAUUGAAGACCCAAAAAGGGAGGCCCUUGUAAUUCAUAGAGAUUUGCUUCUAUUAAUCUGACCCUGUAAUUCUUCCUUUAAGAUUGAUAAAGACAAGAAGGUAUAUUCUUAAAUGGGAGGAGCUGAGGGAAGGUACACAAACUAUACUAUGUCAAAACAAAAAUGCCAACAAUUAUAAUAGGUGUGUGGCAUAUACUCCUUCUUUUCUUUUGAAUAGCUAGCUGGCUAGCCUUCUUUUUCAUCAUCUUUUGGUCUUGCUGAAGAACUUGAACCUGAGGCCAUCCCAAUGACUUGGUUAUUCGUGAACCUUUGUAACUGAAUCAUGCGUGCAUAGAUCCCAUCAGGGUGAUUCUUUAACAGCUGUGAAUGGGAGCCUUGCUCUGCUACCUUCCCAUCAUCCAUCACUGCAAUCAGAUUGGCAUUCCUAAUAGUUGAUAGCCUGUGUGCAACAAUGAUAGUUGUUUUUCCUGCACAGGCACGGUCUAAGGCCUCCUGAACAGACCUCUCAGAUUCAACAUCAAGUGCACUUGUUGCCUCAUCAAGAAGCAUAAGUUCUGCCUUCCUC
rnacentral:lncRNA from 1 species